rnacentral:piRNA from 1 species
UACCACGAUUUUUAUCACAAA